AUGAGCUCACUGGUUCUACUGCUGGCCACCCUGGGGCUCCUGGUUCAGGGUUCAUCAGGACAAAUCGCUGUGACUCAGUCUCCUGAAUCUCAGUCUGUUGUUCCAGGACAGACUGUCUCCAUCAGAUGUAAAACCAGUUCAGGUGUUUACAGCAAUCUCCACUGGUACCUUCAGAAACCUGGAGAAGCUCCUAAACUCCUGAUUAAUUCUGCUACAAGCCGUCAGUCUGGAGUUCCAGGUCGUUUCAGUGGAAGUGGAUAUGGGACUGACUUCACUCUGACCAUCAGUGGAGUUCAGGCUGAAGAUUCAGGAGUUUACUACUGUCAGCAGGGUUACAGCUUCCCGUUCACACAGUGAUACAACGUCGUACAAAAACCUCCCUCAGCUGGAGAGGAACUGAUCUGAAUCAACAGCUGCACUCAAACUAAAACUAAAGGUUUUACUAAAAUAAAUAGUUCACAAUAAUUCACUCUGAAUAUUUGAACACUAAAUAUACUGUACAUAACCAAAAGUCACACUUUUACUGCUUUCAUACAAACAAGGUUUGAUACUGAUGAUACUGUUGAAGUAAUAUUUCACUUCUUUGAUCAGGUCAUUCCCUGGAGUAUGAUGACAUGUGGACACUCAAUUUGUAGAUGUUCAUUUUAUUUCUUUCCAUUUUUCAUAGAAACUCAAUAUAUUAAUUCAAUAGAUGAUAAAAUGUCAUCUCAAUAAUAUUUCAUUCAUGUUGUAAAAAUACGAAUCACAUCUAUAACAUAUUUAAUUGUUUUCAUUUUUUUGUCCAACAAAUUUGUAUUUUAUGAUUUAGACCAAAAUAAUUUAUGAAGUAUGUAUUUUAGUAACACUUUCAUCUUUUUCCAUCUUUCAUUUGUCUUUGUGUUUGUGGAUCUUCAGCAGAAGCAGGAUGUAAAGAGUUUCAGGGAUAAAUUUGAGUUCACAAGAAUUUGGUUUCUCUUUAUGCUGAUGAUACAAUUCUUCUUUAGAAAAUGUUUUUCAUGCUUUUAUAGUUUGACUUGAAGGACAGUGCAUGUUCUUUAGAUAAACCCAAAGCAACAACAGCAUGACAGUCCUCACCAUCACUGAUUUGCACGAAUCAAAAAUGAUGAGGACUUUUGUCUGAGUUUAUAAACUCUUUGAUAAUCAGUGUAUAUGGAAACACAUGAUGUGAUGUGAAACAUAAUUUAUAAAGUCAUCAAGGAAAAAAUCAUGUUUUAAAAUGUUGUUGGUUAAAUAGCAUCACUGCAACUAUUAAAAGAACAUUUAUGAAAACACUUUGACGAUAAUAAA